rnacentral:rRNA from 1 species
GACAUGACUCUCGGCAAUGGAUAUCUCAGCUCUUGCAUCGAUGAAGAGCACAGCGAAAUGNGAUACAUGGUGCGAAUUGCAGAAUCCCAUGAAC